rnacentral:rRNA from 1 species
GACGAACGCUGGCGGCGUGCUUAACACAUGCAAGUCGAACGGAAAGGCCCUGCUUUUGUGGGGUGCUCGAGUGGCGAACGGGUGAGUAACACGUGAGUAACCUGCCCUUGCCUUUGGGAUAACUUCAGGAACCUGGGGCUAAUACCGGAUAGGAGCUCCUGCUGCAUGGUGGGGGUGGGAAAGUUUCGGCGGUUGGGGAUGGACUCGCGGCUUAUCAGCUUGUUGGUGGGGUAGUGGCUUACCAAGGCUUUGACGGGUAGCCGGCCUGAGAGGGUGACCGGCCACAUUGGGACUGAGAUACGGCCCAGACUCCUACGGGAGGCAGCAGUGGGGAAUAUUGCACAAUGGGCGGAAGCCUGAUGCAGCAACGCCGCGUGCGGGAUGACGGCCUUCGGGUUGUAAACCGCUUUCGCCUGUGACGAAGCGUGAGUGACGGUAAUGGGUAAAGAAGCACCGGCUAACUACGUG